GCCGGCUCGGCAGGAACCACAGAGGAGGGGGAGCGAGGGGCGGGGCCGGGCGUAGGGGCGGGGCCUGCGCGCACGCGUCCUCGGGGCGGGGCGGGCUCCGCAGCUGGGCCGGCGCUCUGUCCCGCGCACCUGGCGCUCCCGGAACGUGCUGCGCGUCCUCGUAGAGGCAGUAACCGUGGUCUUCAAGAAAAUAUUCUCCCCCUGAGCGCUGAGAACAUCCAGCACCAAGAGGAGAGGAGAUGCCAAAGCGGGACUGAAAGAACUAAAGGCUCAGAUGGAGGAAUCUCUUCUGGGCCCUCCAAGAACAGCCUCUCAUUCCUCCUCCAAUGCCGUGGUUCUGGAGAUCCUUUCUUUUUCCACUGGAUAUCCCCAAGCCUGGGCCCAAAUCCUUCACCCACAACAGGACUGUAGCCUCCCAACUCUCCGCCCCACCCCCACCCCAGGCCUUCAUUUGCCAAACCCUGGUCUUGUGAGAGGGUCUGGAGAGUCCAAAGUAUAAAAAGCUCCCAAGAGAAAAGUAUGUGCAGGCCAGGUCUCCUCAUGGAGCCAUGGGGUCCCCCUGCUGCUGAGUAGGUUCUAGCCCUCCCAGGUCAUUCUAGCUGGAUACGUGGAGAUGUCAAACUUGAAUGGAGCGGGGAGGAUGAACAUAGAAAACACACUGAUUAGUACUUGAACAUAAAGUCUUGGACAGGCGUAAUACAGGACCCCAGAAUUCCACUCCUUGUUGUGUGAUCCACUGAGUUCAGGACACCUGCACAAUAAGAACCAUAGCCUCAUUGUGUGAAAGAGCCGCAAACUGGAAACAACCCAAAUGUCCAUCGUCAAUAGAAUGGAGAACUAAAUCGGGGUAUAGUUCGUUAGCCAUGGCAACGGAGGAAUCACUGAUGACUCCUGAAUCCAUAAUUUUUAGUGAAAAAAGCCAGACAGAAGAGAAUAUAUACUGCAUGAUUACAGGUUAAACCCAGACCUGUGCGGAGUGCAUGAUAAAUGAAACUAUGAAGUAAACGAGGAAUGGAACACCAUGAACAUAAGACUGUGGUUACUGCUAAGGGCAGGGAAUAAAAUGUCUUUAGGAAGGGGCACGUGUGAAGCUUCUGGAAGUCUCAUAAAUUGUAGGUAUUGAUCUAGGUGG
rnacentral:lncRNA from 1 species